rnacentral:lncRNA from 1 species
GAUUGGAGACUGGGGAGUCUGAGCUUUCAUCCCUGCCCACAGACCCCGGGGCUAGUAUAAAUUCCACUUUUCGGCGAGGGGUUGGCAAUUUGAGAAAGUUCCGCGCAGUUCAACGCUGUGGUCGCCUCGCGCCUCUCGGCCUUUUCGGUGAAGCCGCCCCCGCGAAAAAACCACAUUGGAAUUUUCUGCCAAGAUGUUUCGAGUCACAUUGAUAUGCAGUGUCAUCUUCUUCUUGCUGGUCAGCACGAAGAUUCCUGUGGAUGCGAGGUACCUGCCUACCAGAAGCAUGGACGACCGUCUCAAUCGACUCAGAGAAUUGCUCAGAGAUCUCUCUUUCGUCGAUAGAAAUGACAGACCUCACUCGGGAUCGAAUCCGGAGUUGGGACCCGAGACAGACGCCUCUAGUAGCCAGGUGGACCCCCUCUUCUACCCCUUCGAUUCGCAAAGACUCCCCUUACCACGACGAUUUACCGGGACUAGCACCAACUAAAGGCACUCAUCUCAAUCGGGUCACUCACACAUCAAAUUUAGACCUUCAUUGUUGCUCCUCAACCGCGUUGUCGACUCAUACAUGUCCAUGACGUUUCUUUCAUAUUGUUUUUCCAUGUUGCAUUUUGCUCUGAUCGUUGAAGUGUUGAAUCAUGACUGUUGAAUAUUGUAAAAAAAAAACCGACUUAUCUCCUAAUCACCUUACAAGAGUUUCGAGGAUGGUAACGUUAUUUGGAUCAAGUUCAAAAGGAAGAGACCAAGUAACUACCAGGACACGUUUAUUGCAGUGAUAUGAUUGCAUAGGAAGAUCAAUGGCAGGUGAGCUGUUUCUGAAGUGAACCAAGAAAAUCAGUCUCUUCUUGCUGAGCUCGGUUCGUGCAGGACUUUCGAGAAAAAAUGAAAAAAAGUCGUCUAACUUAAAGGAAUUCUAAAAAGGUUUGAAAAAAAGUCGUCUAACUUAAAGGAAUUCUGAAAAGGUUGUAAAACAUUUUCCAUCAAAAAUUUAGCGUAUUCAUUUUCCUCUCUACCUUUGAUUGAUAUCAAAAUUUAAGUACUCUAAAAGUUCCAAAACGUGAGUGUGUAAGAACAAAAUUCCUUUAUGUUCAAUGUUAAGGCGGAAAUAUUGUUUUUAAAAAAAAUGGAAACACUGCAUCACCAAAUAUUUUUUCUUUUUUAUUCACCUGAUUGUUAAUUGUGUAAGGAAAGAGCCUUCUCUUUGAAAUGUUUUAGUACAAAACUAAGCAUACAGUUCCAUAGGUAAAACUUGACUCUACGUCCUUUAGCCUACAAAACAAUCGCAGUUUGUAACAGAAAAUCAUAAUCUUUGAUGGAAAGUUUAAUCCGAACUCUCCAGUUCUUCCUUGAUGAGAUCAUCUUUCCAAAAUGGAAUUUUUUGUCAUUUUCAGACCAAAAUUUCAAUAAAAUGAAAAAAUCAACGAGAGUCACAGAUUUUUAUUGAUUCUCUUCUUCGGCCUCUAUACUUCUUACUUUCAUCUAAUUUCAUCUGAUCACUCGCUUCCGAUAAGUUUUCGUUUUAUUAUUAGACUGCAAAUUCACGAUAGAAGUUAGCAGACCGAGACGAGAUUUUUUUUCUAUUUCUUGAUCACAAAUUGUUCAGUUAUUAUUGGAUCAUUUAUUUUAUACAUCAUAAUUUCAUAAUACGCCAUUGAUUACACUGUGAAUGGAUAGCUUAUAAAGCACACAUUUAUUUUCAGUUUCAAAUUUUAUUUUAUAGCUAUCUAUCCUCAUAAUACACGCCCGGCACAUUUUAACUGCUAGCUGUCACUAAGAUUCUCCGCUAUCAUCAACAUGUUGAUGAUUAUUUUAAAAUUAUUAUCUUUCAAAGCGACAAUCAGCUUCUCUCAAAAGGUUUGUGAAUCCUCCCUCCAUCUGAAAUUUUCAAAAUAAACCGUUGGACCGGCUGCAUAAAACUUAAUACCAAAAAGAAAACUAUACUUGUAACUUUUUUUCAUUUUAAACAAAAGGCAAAAAUGUUGUGUUGGGAUGGACCUUAUUCUUUGCGGAAUGUAUGUACAUUUAAAAAAAAAGACAUAAAUAUAAGAUAUACAUGUAUAAUGUUGUAUAAUUGCUUAUUUAGUUCCUCUGACCUUACUGCAAGGAAAACUGUAAUUUAUAAAGUUUGUCUGAUUGGAGCAACAAUUUUCCUUUUUCAUCGCAUGUUUUUUUUUUCUAAAGCUAUUUUUUUAUAUUUGUACCAUACUUUUUUGAAAGCUUGUUGUCAAGCUCUAAAAAACACUUCUCAGAUAUUUGACGAUAGAAUGUUUCAAUAAAA